GCCUGGGUGGCUCAAAGGUUGAGCGUCUGCCUUCAGCUCAGGUCAUGAUCCCAGGGUCCUGGGAUCGAGUCCCAUACCAGGUU
rnacentral:tRNA from 1 species